AUACUUAUGUAAAGUUAAGAACAAAUGUACAAUUUACUUGAUCACAAAGGUAAUUUACCAGGAGGAGGCUUAUCCACACUCCAGAUGUGCUGGCUUGUGCAAUUUUUCCAAAUGUGGGAAACUUGACUACUUAAUUUGUGAUAAUGGAGGAACUGCAUUCAUGCUUUCCUCUG
rnacentral:snRNA from 1 species